rnacentral:tRNA from 8 species
GCGCGAGUGGCGGAAUUGGUAGACGCGCACGGUUCAGGUCCGUGUGAUCUUGCGAUCAUGGGGGUUCGAGUCCCCCCCCGCGCACCA